GGGAAGGUGGCUCAGUGGUAGAGUGCUUGCCUUGCAUGCAUGAGGUCUUGGGUUCCAUUCCU
rnacentral:tRNA from 1 species